GACGAACGCUGGCGGCAUGCCUAACACAUGCAAGUCGAACGGAAAGACCCCUUUGGGUGUACUCGAGUGGCGAACGGGUGAGUAACAUGUGAGUAACCUGCCCUUGACUUCGGGAUAACUUUACGAAACCGGGGCUAAUUCCGGAUAGGAAUCCUUGCUGCAUGGUGGGGGUUCGAAAGCUUCGGCGGUUUUGGAUGAGCUCGCGGCUUAUCAGCUUGUUGGUGGGGUAGUGGCUUACCAAGGCUUUGACGCGUAGCUGGACUGAGAGGGCGACCGGCCACAUUGAGACUGAGAGACGGCCCAGACUCCUACGGGUGGCAGCAGUGGGGAAUAUUGAACAAGGGGCGGAGGCCUGAUGCAGAAACGCCGCGGGCGGGAUAACGGCCUUCGGGUUGUAGACGGAUAGCAGCAGGAGCGAAGCUUGUGGUGACGGUACCUGCAGAAGAAGCACCGGCUAACUACGUG
rnacentral:rRNA from 1 species